AUGACUUCAUCAGGCACUGCUAUCAUGGGGCACUGGUAACAAAUAAAUAUCACUUUGGAGGCCAUGUGCAGAUCAGAUUUGGAAGUGACCAAGACUGGAGGCAGGGACACCAGAGUUUUCUGUUAAAAACUGGUCCAUGCAAGAAAAGAUGACUCCUGAAAUAAGACAGUGAUCAUUAGGAUGAAGAGGAAGAGAAGAUUUGAGGAAUACUUAGAACAGAAUUUACUGAAUUUACUGGUUGAAUUGAAUGUGAAGAGGAGAUGAAUAAAGAAGAAAACACCCUCAAAGGAACAAAUAUGAAACAAUCUCUGGAAAAUGGAAUUUGAUUUUGAUUCAACAACAGGAGAAUUCUACUGUUUUUCUCCAGCAGCUCCACGAUAAAAGGGAACCCUGAGCAGAACACAUGCACAAACUCAUGCCAUACCCUAAGGGACAAGGUUCCCCACAUCUACUUGGAAAUCUUUGGGAUGCUCAAUGGACAGUUGCUCUGAUUCAUUUCUGGACUUCAGUGGAAGAAGCAGCCCUUAUUUAGGAUAUUGUUAGUCUUUGGCAGAGGGAAUACAAAGCAAUGGAAGGGUGAUGUGAUGGCUCCGAAAGCUUCUGUUGGAUGUAGAAUAUAAAGUUUGCUCACCUUUUUUAAUCCAAAGAGAAAAACAAGGAGAGAAAAAUCUAAACCCAGCAGAAGAGAAAGUUUAAGAAAGCGGUCGUCGCCAAUACCAAAAUUAGCUAUGAUAUUCAGGAAGAAAAAAAUGGAAACACGAUAACCACAGUCAAUAAAGACCAAGGCCACAUUCCAUUGACCAGAGCUCAGCCACGCGCCACACCUGGCUAAAGAGACUCUGGCUGAAGAAUUCCCUGAAUAUUUUAAUGUAGCUCUAGGUUAUAACACAGAACAACCACAAGGUGGCAGAAGAACUCCAUUCUUGUAAAUCUCUUAGUUGCUUCUUUAUUUCAUCUUCCCUAUUCCAUCUAAUGUUCCCUGAAUUUUACUAUUUUGUUGGUUUGAAAAUAUGUGUGACUUACGUCCUUUAAAGGAUUUGGUUCGUAAGGUUUUGAAUAGACUGGAAUAUAAAACAUUUAUAGAAAAGAAAAAUACCUACAGUAUGAUGUUAGUGAACUAUUAAUAAUCCAAUUAAAUAAAAUAUAUUUGCUUUGGAUUAAUACA
rnacentral:lncRNA from 1 species